UACGUAGGGGGCAAGCGUUGUCCGGAAUUAUUGGGCGUAAAGAGCUUGUAGGCGGUUUGUCGCGUCUGCUGUGAAAUUUCGGGGCUCAACCCCGAACUUGCAGUGGGUACGGGCAGACUAGAGUGUGGUAGGGGAGACUGGAAUUCCUGGUGUAGCGGUGAAAUGCGCAGAUAUCAGGAGGAACACCAGCGGCGAAGGCGGCGCUCUGGGCCGGGAACUGACGCUGAGGAGCGAAAGCGUGGGUAGCAAACAGG
rnacentral:rRNA from 1 species